UCGAUCAGCUGUUGUUUGUACGAGUGCUGGGUAACAGACGACAGGACAUAGUAAUGUCGAGGUCGAGAGUUAUUUAUUAGUGACAGUGUGAAGGGAUUUUCGUGGAAUUUGAUUAUUGUAAAUUUGUAUUUAUUAUUGUUCAGUAACACUCUUAAAUAACAGUGAAUAAUAAUUCUUCAUGGUGUAUUUAUCUGGAAAUAUAAGUGCCAAGCCUAGCUUUGUUUGGUUAUUUUAUCUACAAUAUCCGUGAAUUUUGCAUGUUAUUUAUAAUUCCAUUUCCAUUAUAGUGUUACAAAUACAGUUUUUGCAUACCGGUCUUCGAAUCAAUCCUACUCAACGAGUGAUGUACUAGUGAAAUAUAUCUAAAUAAUAUGAAUCUCCUUUUUGAGAGUACUUGUAACUUGAUAGUAACAUUGACGUGUUUGGCUCUGGACCCAGCGAAGCCUGCCAUUUUACACAGAUAUUGAAGAAAAGAGACAAAUUUGAGUUAUAUUAACAAAGUGAAAUAUUUAUUACCUUCGAUAACUACCAUACUCGAAAUGGCUGAUAAAUCUUUUAAAAAUGAAUCGGAAGCCUGCCAUCUUGUGUUUGAUGUCUUCAAAGAUCUCAUAGAACAUCUUCAAUCAUCGUCCAUUUGACAUUUGACACGCCACAAUCAUCCACUAUAACUCAAAGGACUCCAUCUUCAUCUGGAACAUCUGGUUUUUUUUAAAAAUGUUCGAUAAACUCUUGUGUUCUCAUCCCUACUCGCCUUCCUACUUCAAACUUUUCAUUCCUCUUCAGAAGUGAUCCCCAGAAGGGAUCUUCUUUUUCAUCAACUAGUUUAUAAUUUAUUGCAUCUUGUAUAACUGAAAUCAGGGCCCAUCGUGAAAACUGGGAUCAAUUGAAAGUCAAUUCUUCCAGCACUGUAUUUUUCAACAAAUUUCUUACCAUGUUGAGUGAUUUGCGAAAUUUUUCUUAUGACCCAGAAACCAUUGAAAUUGAACUCACAGACAUGGAUUUCUGGGGAAGAUUUAUAAAAAUUUCUAAAUUGGUAUACGUGUAAAUAGUCUGUCAUACAAAUUAUUAGAAUACAUAUUUACCUUGUUAUUAUACCGGAGAAAACGGGUCAGCUUUGAAUUUGUAAUAUAGAAUAAUCGUCAAGCAUAAGUUAAUCAGUUUUAGAAUAAAAUUAAAUCAUUCUCCAUCAACUAUUAAAGCUAUAUUCAAAGAAGACAAGCCAAUAUAUAGAAAUAUUUCAACAGUAAGCACAAACUUAAUCUACUGUACCGAGAAUUAUUUAUUUUCCAUUCAGUGAUAUAAUAUAUAAUAUGUUAUAACCAAUAAAUUUAUCAGCUUUGGAUAUCCUGCUUAAUGAGUGGAACAAUUUUUGGACUGGAAAUCUCAUAAAUCGAACUCUAUCUAUCGCACUGAUAGCUUCAAUUUUGAGAAAUGUAACAAAUUAGUCAUGUUCAAGUCUUCAGCUAGAACUCGAGGUUCUGAGUAUUGAAAUGGUAUAAUUGUUGCAAAAAUGUGAACUUUACCAGUGUGAUAAGAACUUUUCAAAAUGUUUUCAUUAUAGAUUAUUGUUGGACGUAAUUAUUGUGAAAAUGGUGUAAGCUAAGUACUUGUAUUACUUAGAACCAAGUGGUUUUCUAUUCAGAUCUGCGAUAUUGUGUGUAUUACGGACAGAAAAAUCUCAUUUACGAAACCGGGAAUAAACAAACUUUUUCAAGAUGGGUUCCUCAAGGACCCGUAUAAAAAGAACUUUUGGUUCUCCUGUUAAGUGGAAAAGACUUGUGUGGGGUGAGUAGAGGUAGCGAGUACCUCCGAGAUCUUCGCUCUGACGAAGAGCGAAUUUUCGUCUAGCGUCUUCGAGAAAAAGCCUACAACUUCAAAAUGGGGAGUUCAUGCUCAUCAGGUCAAGCCCACAAGGACAAGGAUUCAUCCCAGGGAUCCGAAGAUAGUUCUCCAAGCUACCAUGUGGCAAGGACUGGAGAAUCGGUGUUCGAGCCGCAACCGGGUGCGUCAACUUCAGCCGGCUCCUACCCACCUGAAACGCAACCGCAGACAUCUAUGGCCAGCGUGUCGUCAGGUGUGGUGCUCAGAGUUGAUAGUGCUUCCGAUCCACCACCCAGGACAUUGGCUGAAAGACAGGGAGCAGCUAGAGCCGGCGGAUCGGCUGAAGGCGCUUCCCCUAGUUCACCACCUAAUCCACCUGAGCCUACCAUUCCGGUUGACAAGACCAAUCUUCCAACAACAAUUAUCAAAAUGCCUGAUGAAAUCUUGCAUCUGCUGCUUGGGACAAUUCCGGCUGCGAGAACCGUUGUCAAAGCCAAAAAGAUUACCAUCUACGUGGCAGCAGCCGACUCACAAGACUGCUGCCUGGAAAAGGGUAUUUUGCACAACAAAGUCUACCCAGUGCUAAGAAAGGAGGCAAUUGAGCAUGGCUAUGAGCUUCACAUUGUAGAUUUACAUUGGCGGACAGCUCUAGAAAAACAACAAGACCAUGAGUUCCCUGAAUUGUGUGUUGAGCAGCUAAACCGUCAAGCAGAAAUCUCGUACACAAUUCCAGUGAUCUUUCUGAGUGAUUCACUUGGAACUCCAUUGUUGCCAAAGACCAUCGAAGCACAAGACUUUGAAAUGGUUCUGAUGAACCCAAUGACUGAUGCCGCUGACCGAAACCAUCUACAGAAGUGGUAUAGGCUGGAUAGCGAUGCACAACCACCCUGCUUCCGCCUGCAGUCAUUCAAAGCCGAAAUACCUGGAUUAAAGGAUUUUCGUAGCGAAGAACGCGCCAGAGCUUUAGCCGAAUGGCAAGCCGAGGUUGAUCACGUUUUCGCCGUCCUUUUGGCCGCAUUUUCCGAAGAACUUCGUGACUCCUACCUGACAACAGUUGUCGAACAAGAAGUGCAUAACACUGUUGUCAUGAGCCAGGAGUUGGCCAAACGCUGCGUAUGGCUGCAGCGAGUUUAUACACAUCAGCCGCUUGAAGAGUUGAGAGUGACAACUAAAAGCGAAGCAGAACUCAAACGUCGUCUGGAUACCAUCCAGAAGGCCUUGAAGACAUCAUUAGAAGAGAAGCACGUCCUCCGCAUAUCGGUUCCUUGGAACAAGUCUGGUCUAGAUCAAAGCUUGCCUGAGAAUGCCCAAUAUGCGGCUGAUGUCACAGUACAGCUGCGUAUAGCUUUACUGUCCAUCAUCAAUGAAAUAGUAGAUGACGAUCCAAUCAAACUAUUGCCGCCGCUCAGCUCAUCAUAUGGCAUAGAAGCCGAAUUAUUCUACGAACUUUCGAGACAAGCACAAUUUAUACAAAAGUUGGCACGUUGCAGCGUUAAUGGGGAAGACCCAAUGUCACAAAUGAAAUCCUAUAUCAAAGCGGAAAUUGCUAACAACAAAAUAUUCGUUCUUCACGGAACCCAAGGAUCUGGCAAAAGCACUUUGGUCGCCCGUGCGGCUCUAGAAUGCCACGAGUGGCUGCCAGGCUCCAUGCUCGUAGUUCGCUUUGUCGGUGUGACCGCUCACAGUUUGAGUAUGGAGCAAAUUAUAAGAACUAUCUUGGCACAAUGUGAAAUAAUUGAGGGGGGUCAUGUGUUGACUCACAAACACAGUUUAGAUACUUACGCACAAAUUUUCCGAAGUACUCUGGCGGCUACUGCUUUAAAGAGGACUGUAAUUAUUAUUUUGGAUGGACUGGAUCAGGUCCGUGACUUUGGGACUGACAAUUAUGACUGGCUACCUACGUCGUUGCCUCCCAAUGUUCGAAUGAUUCUGACAGCAAACGAUGAUAAUAAAGUGAAUCAUUUUGAAAGAAUUGAGAGAAGACUUGGAUCAACGGGAGGCUAUUAUGUAAAGAUGCCAACUCUUGAUGAGCUAGAAGCUCAGAACAUCUUGAUGUCUUCUGUUGUUGAAUACAAUCAUAGUGUCAAUAGCACCGUACAAGAUUGUGUCAAAGCAUCAGUAGCUGAGUGCACAUUACCGUUAUACAUCAAGGUUUUGGCAUGGCAUACAUCGUGGAUAGGGCCUGGCUCUGAGAGUGAGGUUAUUCCAAAAGGAACAGUUGACAAGCAAGUGAAGUUGAUGUUAGAACAGCUUGAAGGAUUGCUUGGUACUGAACAGGUUGCUAUAGCGAUGGCUUUACUAGUGGCAUCCAAAUUUGGUCUCUCAGAUUCUGAAAUGUUGGAUGUGCUAGCCCAUGAUUCAGCUUUCCAUAGUUCUUCUACAUAUGUGAAAUGGGCUCCAGCUUGCUUGUUCUGGGCGAGGUUCGUGAAACGCAUGUGGCCGUUCCUAACAUGGCUGCCGGCUGGAGGCACAUGUGUGAUCCAGUGGCGUGAUGCAGCAAUACGCAAUAUUGUGCGUAAGAAGUACUCAAACCGAAUGUCAUGGGCGCACAGUAUCCUGGCCGACUACUUCAAGGGAGACAUGUGCAGGAGAGGAGAAGAGAGGCUUGACGCACGGUUCUUUGAUCAGUCUAACAGCGUUGGUAAUGGCCGCUACAACUGCAGGCGGUUGGAAGAAUUGCCUUACCAUAGCUGUAAGCAGAAUGAUAAGAACUACGUCAGGGAUUAUGUUUUCAAUCACAUCUGGAUAUAUGACAAGCUGUGCGGUACUUCAGUCUACCAGGUUCUGGAAGACGUUCGAAUGGCUCCAAAUGACUGUGCAAUAUCACAUGACCUAUCGUGGCUUCGAGGGUUUUUGGAGCACAAUAGCACAGGUUUGGGAAUCGACGGACGCCAGUUCUACACCCUUCUGGGAGCUCCAGAUCUGUACAGAUCGUCGCAUAGUAAUCUGUGUACGGCUUGGGCACAAAUAGCUAUUGAUCCGCCGGUUUUUUGUCUCACCAUUCUACCAACAACCAGAGAAAGAGCACUGAGUACUACCAGUAGAGAUUCUCAGGAAAGCAACCCGGAGCUCUUGACCAAGACGUAUUUCGAUAACAUCUACAGGCUCCCUAAAAGCUGUGACUAUGUUAUCACAACUUCUGGCGACCGAGAAGAAAUCUGUGUAUGGGAUGCAGUCAAGUGCACAAGGGUGCGCACUCUGCGUAAGGUGACACAGCCGUUGAGCUUAGUGAUGAUUGAUGAUUACCAAAGUAUUGUCCUCUGCAAGCGUGAGCUCAGAACUUAUGAUCUCAAUGAAGGCCACCUUAUAGGCAAGCUUAAAGGUGUAAUGAACCAGAAGAUGCCCUACUACGGUCUUCAUGACGCGAAUCAUUUGGUUGCGUUGUCUCGUAAUCGGAUGUAUGUCAAUCUCAUGCAUAUAGAAACCAGUGACCUUGUAACAACAUUCAAAGCUGGUGAAGAUCGUUUUCUUAACUCUCUGAUGGUAUCAGGCGAUGGAAGGAUUCUGGUUUGUGGCGACGAAACUCAAAAACCAUUUCCGCUGCUUGUUUGGGACCUAACUUCGCGGAAACUGCUCUACGAUCUGAGGAUAGCACACCAUGAUUUCCUCACCGAAUUAGCAGCAAUCACUUACGAGGGUCAUUUCGUUUGCUGUGUCACUUCGGAAACUGCAGGUGCAAGCUGAUGGGACAUUCUGGGCCAGUCACGUGCUUGAGACUCGAUCCCAGUGGUGGAACCUUCAUCUCCUACGACACCAAAUCCAGGGACAGAUCCAUGAGGCUGUGGAACAUCGCAAAAGGUGAGCAAGCUGCCGUCUACACACCGGACCGUCGAAUAACUGCGGCGGAGAUAGUCUCCGGUGGUCAGUUCGUUGUGAUCGCAGUUGAAGGUGUGGAUCAGCUGAUUACGUUGCAGCUCAUUGGGCCACAAAAACC
rnacentral:misc_RNA from 1 species